AAGUCGUAACAAGGUCUCCGUAGGUGAACCUGUGGAGGGAUCAUUACUGAGUGAGGGCCCUCGCGGUCCGACCUCCAACCCUUUGUCGUCCGACUCUGUUGCCUCGGGGGCGUCCCCGGCGUUCGCGCCAGGGCCCCGGCCGGUCCACACAACUCUGCAUCUUUGCCGCCUGAGUAAACAUUAAAUGAAACAAAA
rnacentral:misc_RNA from 1 species